rnacentral:rRNA from 1 species
AGUGAACGCUGGCGGCAGGCCUAAUACAUGCAAGUCGAACGGCAGCACAGCAGAGCUUGCUCUGUGGGUGGCGAGUGGCGGACGGGUGAGGAAUACAUGGGAAUCUGCCCAGUCGUGGGGGAUAACGUAUGGAAACGUACGCUAAUACCGCAUGCGCCCUUCGGGGGAAAGCCGGGGAUCUUCGGACCUGGCGCGAUUGGAUGAGCCCAUGUCGGAUUAGCUAGUUGGGGGGGUAAAGGCCCACCAAGGCGACGAUCCGUAGCUGGUCUGAGAGGAUGAUCAGCCACACUGGAACUGAGACACGGUCCAGACUCCUACGGGAGGCAGCAGUAGGGAAUAUUGGACAAUGGGCGCAAGCCUGAUCCAGCCAUGCCGCGUGUGUGAAGAAGGCCUUCGGGUUGUAAAGCACUUUUGUCCGGAAAGAAAAGC